CAGCCGCAGUGGGAAGAGCAAAGAAGUUGUCCUGGGGAAGCUACAUGAGGUCUACAGUCGACUCUGUGCCCAGAGGCAGGUGUCUGCGGUGGGUCAAGGUGAGUGUUUGUCGCUCUGCUCUCUGCUGGAGAGUCGAGGGAUCUUCGCGCUGAAGAAAUCCAAAGAAUCUCGACUAACCAAGGUUUUCCUAAAGAUUGAGGAGAAAGACGUGGAAAACGCUUUAAAGGAUCGGACUUUGCUGGGCAGCAUCCUGGCUGCUGGAUUGCCCUCCUGAAUUUACGCUUUUUUUUUUUUUUUUUUACCUUUACUUUUUUGUUUUAAAUUAGAAUUUUAUUUAAAUUUUUAAAAAACAUAUUUUAUUUUUUAUCUCAUUUUUGCUGAGAGUCUGUACAUGUCUGUAAAUGCCUUUACUUCUAUUUUUUUUUUUAAUUUUGACAUGAGAUGCAUUUUACAGCUUUGUUUCAAAUGACAUUUGAAACUUCCUUUUUUAUGCUGUAAAUAAACAUUUGAAACACACACAUUAGACCUUUUAAAAGAAACUAUGAAAUCCUUUUCCCACAAGAUGGCGACACUUGUAUAGAAACUCGAAGUCCAAACAGCUGAGCGUUUCUUAUCUGUUAGCAGACGGUUCUUUGGAUUUUAACGAAGUUCUCGGUGUUUCUCUCCGACUGACUGACUGGUUGACGGUUUGAAUCUGUUGCCUGACUCUGGUUGUGACAGUGUUGCUGCUGCAGCACUUCACUCCCACAGGCUGUUGCAUAACUGUAGUCCUCAGUGCAGUCCACCUAUUAAAAACCCGCUCCCUGUGUGUGAGCUCAGUUUUUAAUAA